UUAUACUUUGAUCCUGGCUCAGAACGAACGCUGGCGGCAGGCUUAACACAUGCAAGUCGAACGCCCCGCAAGGGGAGUGGCAGACGGGUGAGUAACGCGUGGGAAUCUACCGUACCCUACGGAAUAACGCAUGGAAACGUGUGCUAAUACCGUAUACGCCCUUCAGGGGAAAGAUUUAUCGGGGUAUGAUGAGCCCGCGUUGGAUUAGCUAGUUGGUGGGGUAAAGGCCUACCAAGGCGACGAUCCAUAGCUGGUCUGAGAGGAUGAUCAGCCACAUUGGGACUGAGACACGGCCCAAACUCCUACGGGAGGCAGCAGUGGGGAAUAUUGGACAAUGGGCGCAAGCCUGAUCCAGCCAUGUCGCGUGAGUGAUGAAGGUCUUAGGAUUGUAAAGCUCUUUCACCGAUGAAGAUAAUGACGGUAGUCGGAGAAGAAGCCCCGGCUAACUUCGUGCCGGCAGCCGCGGUAAUACGAAGGGGGCUAGCGUUGUUCGGAAUUACUGGGCGUAAAGCGCACGUAGGCGGAUAUUUAAGUCAGGGGUGAAAUCCCGCAGCUCAACUGCGGAACUGCCUUUGAUACUGGGUAUCUCGAGUAUGGAAGAGGUGAGUGGAAUUCCGAGUGUAGAGGUGAAAUUCGUAGAUAUUCGGAGGAACACCAGUGGCGAAGGCGGCUCACUGGUCCAUUACUGACGCUGAGGUGCGAAAGCGUGGGGAGCAAACAGGAUUAGAUACCCUGGUAGUCCGCGCCGUAAACGAUGAAUGUUAGCCGUCGGGCAGCUUGCUGUUCGGUGGCGCAGCUAACGCAUUAAACAUUCCGCCUGGGGAGUACGGUCGCAAGAUUAAAACUCAAAGGAAUUGACGGGGGCCCGCACAAGCAGCGGAGCGUGUGGUUUAAUUCGAUGCAACGCGAAGAACCUUACCAGGGCUUGACAUAUCGGUAGUAGAAACCCGAAAGGGGGACGACCUGUUGAGUCAGGAACCGAUGCAGGUGCUGCAUGGCUGUCGUCAGCUCGUGCCGUGAGGUGUUGGGUUAAGUCCCGCAACGAGCGCAACCCCCGUUGCCAGUUGAUUUCUCUGGCGAGACUGCCCCGUAGAACGGGGAGGAAGGUGGGGAUGACGUCAAGUCAGCAUGGCCCUUAUGCCCUGGGCUACACACACGCUACAAUGGGUGGUACAAUGGGUUGCAAGGGAGCAAUCCGGAGCUAAUCCUCAAAGCCAUCCUCAGUACGGAUUGUAGGCUGAAACCCGCCUGCAUGAAGCUGGAGUUGCCAGUAACCGCAGGUCAGCAUACUGCGGUGAAUACGUUCUCGGGCCUUGUACACACCGCCCGUCACGUCAUGAAAGUUGGCAACGCCUGAAGUCGAUGGGCUAACCCUUCGGGGAGGCAGUCGCCUAGGGUGGGGCUGAUGAUUGGGACGAAGUCGUAACAAGGUAACC
rnacentral:rRNA from 1 species